AUUAGCUUAGUUGGUAGAGCAUCUGACUUUUAAUCCCUGAGUAGUUGGUUCAAAUCCCGUCUCCUU
rnacentral:tRNA from 1 species